ensembl:lncRNA
AUGGGCCUCCUAUUCAGAAGAGCAUCCAAGAAGUCACUCAGCCAACUCCAUACGCGCAACCAUAAAACCCAGGACCUUAACACAGCCGCUGCCACAUCUGCUGCCCCUGAGUCACUGCCACCUCCAUUCAGCCCUGCAGACAAGGACAUCCCCUCAAAGAAAACUCGACAUGGACUUCUGGAGACUGUGUGUCUGAGUCCUCUGGCAGAGGAGACCGGAGCAGGUCCAGACCCUCAGGCGGAGCCUAACGUGGCCCCUGUGAUGGCCCAGGAGGGAGCACCCGGACACUGGGCCCUGACAGGAGGUCAAACCUCGUUACUUGGGAAGAAGAGCCCAGCGCAGGCCCGGGAAUCGUUUGAAAUAGAAGAGAUCCACAGUUUUGAUGACAGUUAUGUGACAGGCAGCUACACAGGAGGAGCAGAACAUUUAGCGCACGGUGUCCUACGGAGCAACAGCUGCCAGUCAGACAGCAGUGGCUUUCUAGAGGAGCCAUUCGUCCCCCUUCUCAUCAAGCAGGCGUCACCAGGAGCCGACCUCAUCCAGGCUCUGUCCGGCCUGUCCGGGGACACUGAGACGCCACCCCCCCAUACCCCUGCAUCUCUCACCUCGUCUGCUGUUGACUCGCCCAGUCUUUCACCAAAGCCUUCAUUAGACUUUGACCCCUCCCCAUGUCCAUUCUCCUUGUGUCUCCCAAACUCUGACCAGCACAAUUCAGAGAGGGAAACACAACCAGAACCGGAUCAGUCUCCAGCUGCUUCACUCUCCACGUCGGUGUGUGAGUACUCUCAAGAGCUUGCAAUGCCUGCUGCUUCUGUCCUGACUGAGGACAAGGAGACACUGUCCUCCCACGUCCCUGCUGUACUGCACGGCUCCGAAGGCCCAGCAUGCUCUCCCUGUCCAAGUGUUGCUCCUCUUGCCUCAUAUCCUUUUCCUUCUCCAAAUUUGGAUCGUCCGUUUUCCCUGUCAACCGUUACGUCUUGCACGCGGUCGGCCUCCUCUUCCAGGAGUCCAGGCGACCCUCAUUCAGAACAGACUGGAGUGGCUCUGCACAGAAACUCAUCAUCGCUAUCAUCUCAGCUUCAGCCAUCUGCCCCCCAUGAUUUUCAUUGUCCCACCCCACUAAAAGAGACCCUCUCGCAAGAUGCGGAUGCGGAAAAGCAUCAUAGGGAUUCCGUGUUGGAAGACUCCGAAGCAAUAGGCCUCUCUGAUCCAUCUACCAGUUCACAGAAGGAUGAGGAAGAAACACCCUCCUCUCUCUCCUUCCAGUUGGAAAAAGACAACGUCUCUGCUUCAUCCUCUCUCAUUCUGGUGUCCUCUGAGGACCCUUCCUUUCCAGUUGGUCAUCCUGCCUUGCAGUCUCAUUUAGGUGAUCCGGAGGGUCUGAUCGAUCCAGCUGCUGCAGGAACCUCAGACCUUUCAGCGCUGUCCACCUGCCGACGUGAUAUUAGCACAGAGCCUGCUCCGACUCCCCGAGCCCAAGACAUGAUUCAUGAUACAAUGAAUCUCUUCUUCUUGGACUUUGAAGACACCGACCAGAGGUGUGGAAAGGGAGCAGCAGGGGCUGAAAGGCUCACUGACACUGUGCAGACGCAGAAGAAUGUUGUUUACAUCUCAGAUACAGAGAGUUCUGGGGGCCUGUCACAAGGUUGUAGAGUAGUCUCUGAGGAAGUAUGUAACCAAACAGAAAUAGAUCCACAGCUCCUAUCAACUGGAACCCAACCGGAACAUUGUCAGGGAGGAGGUAUUGGCUCGGAAAACAAAUCACUCAGCAGUUCUUUGAUUUUACAUAAUUGUAGAGCUGAAGUUCAACCAAAGGAUCUAAUCAAGGUUGAGAGCUUAGAUGAGAUCUUCCAGACCUCCGUGGAUAGUUCUGAAGGUGACACUGGAGAUGUGGAUGCCUUUUUUCAGCAGCUUGAUACUGAAGGACGAGCCUAUUGGGCAGAACCCAUCCAGGUUUCAAAUCCGAGUCCUGUACUCGAAGAGUCAGUCAGCGUCGAAAGCUCAGGCGGAUCUCCUGGGAGUUCUCCGUUGCCUAGUGGCCCAGCUCUUCUGGACCUGAUGCCCUCCACCGGCAGAGCUAUGCUUUUGUCUCCGUCAUCCUCAACAACGAUGGACACUGACCAGAUGUCAAGAAAUAAAGCCGCCUCCCCAGUGGCCCCAGCUCCGGUCCCGACCCCCUCCUUAAGCCCAGACCUCAAGACAUCUAGCCGCUCCGUUUCUGUCCAGAUGUCUUCUUCCCCAUCGUCUCAUAUAGUCCAGCGGAAGGACGUUCCCUAUAUUACGGACUCUAAACGCACGCUUCUGUCUAGUUUCCUCUCUUUGGACACGUCCACCCCUUUCCGUGCUGUGCAGUCAUGGACUGACCUUCAGAUCCAGCGAAGCCCUCUCACCACCAACUUCUCUCAGUGGGGCCUUCAUACUUCCCCAAAGGAUGUAACCGUAUGCACUAGUGCCACAGAAACAUCACAUGACUGUGAGCAGACUGAACAUCAGCACACCACGUCGCUCUCUGUGGACAAAGGGCUGUGGCUUGAUGAGGAGGUGGACAGGAACGGAUAUGAAGAAGAGGGCAAGCUCUGGCGGGAGGAUCACAGGGCCACCACGUCGUGUUGCUGCUCCUGUGACCAUCAGUGUAACGGCGCCACUCAGAAGAGAGACAACAUUCCUGUGAGUAAUACCACACUCUCCAAUGUGGCCUCGUUUCACUUUAUUUAUCUUCCCACUCUGUUUGUGAUCUUGUGGCACGUUUCAGGCUCCAAAAUGUAA